CCUACGGGUGGCAGCAGUGAGGAAUAUUGGUCAAUGGACGAGAGUCUGAACCAGCCAAGUAGCGUGAAGUAUGACUGCCCUAUGGGUUGUAAACUUCUUUUAUAUGGGAAUAAAAUGUUCCACGUGUGGGAUUUUGUAUGUACCAUAUGAAUAAGGAUCGGCUAACUCCGUGCCAGCAGCCGCGGUAAUACGGAGGAUCCGAGCGUUAUCCGGAUUUAUUGGGUUUAAAGGGAGCGUAGGUGGAUUGUUAAGUCAGUUGUGAAAGUUUGCGGCUCAACCGUAAAAUUGCAGUUGAAACUGGCAGUCUUGAGGACAGUAGAGGUGGGCGGAAUUCGUGGUGUAGCGGUGAAAUGCUUAGAUAUCACGAAGAACUCCGAUUGCGAAGGCAGUUCACUGGACUGCAACUGACACUGAGGCUCGAAAGUGUGGGUAUCAAACAGGAUUAGAUACCCGGGUAGUC
rnacentral:rRNA from 1 species